GUCUGUUCGGCGGCGUGUGACGUCACGCGGCAAGGUGUGACGUCACAGGGUGGCGUCACCGGGCGACAUCUCGACGAGCGACUCACACAGGAGACGACGGAGGGGUCAGAAACGGCUUUAAUGUGGGGUGGGGACGCGCUGCGUGCCCCAUAGCGAUCCAUAGGGACCCACAGAGACCCAUAGCGACCCAUAGGGACACACAGAGACCCACAGAGACCCAUAGGGACCCACAGAGACCCAUAGGGACCCAUAGGGACCCACUGUGCCCCAUAGGGACCCAUAGGGACCCACAGAGACCCAUAGAGACCCACUGUGCCCCAUAGCGACCCAUAGAGACCCACAGAGACCCAUAGAGACAUCCAUAAGGACCCACUGUGCCCCACAGCGACCCAUAGAGACCCAUAGGGAAUCACAGAAACCCACAGAGACACACAGGGACCCACUGUGCCCCAUAGCGACCCACAGACACUCAUAGGGAACCAAUAGAGACCCCACAGAGACCCAUAGGGACCCACAGAGACCCACAGAGACCCAUAGGGACCCACUGUGCCCCAUAGCAACCCAUAGGGACCCACAGAGACCCAUAGAGACCCACUGUGCCCCAUAGGGACCCAUAGAGACCCACAGAGACCCAUAGGGACCCACAGAGACCCAUAGGGACCCACAGAGACCCACUGUGCCCCAUAGCGACCCAUAGGGACCCACAGAGACCCAUAGAGACAUCCAUAGGGACCCACUGUGCCCCAUAGCGACCCACAGAGACCCAUAGGGACCCAUAGAGACAUCCAGAGUGACACAUAGAGACCCCAUAGAGACCCACAGAGACCCACUGUGCCCCAUAGAGACCCACAGAGACCCAUAGCAACUGAUAAAAACCCACAGAGACCCACAGAUACCCAUAGUGACCCACUGUGCCCCAUAGCGACCCACAGAGACCCAUAGGGACCCAUAGGAACCCACAGAGACCCACUGUGCCCCAUAGGGACCCAUAGGGACCCAGAGAGACACAUAGAGACCCAUAGGGACCCACACUGCCCCAUAGCGACCCAAGGAGACCCAUAGGGACCCAUACGGACCCAUAGCGACCCAUAAAGAUCCAUAGGGACCCAUAGGGACCCACUGUGCCCCAUAGCGACCCAUAGCGACCCAUAGCGACCCAUAGAGACCCAUAGGGACCCAUGGAGACCCACAGAGACCCAUAGGGACCCACUGUGCCCCAUAGCGACCCACAGAGACCCACAGAGACCCACAGGGACCCACACAGACCCAUAGGGACCCAUAGGGACCCACUGUGCCCCACUGUGCCCCAUAGGGAACCACAGAGACACAUAGAGACCCAUAGAGACCCAAAGAGACCCAUAGCGACCCAUAGAGACCCACUGUGCCCCAUAGCGACCCAUAGAGACCCAUAGAGAACCAGAGAGACCCAAAGAGACCCACAGGGACCCAUAGAAACACCCAGAGGGACACAUAGGAACCCCAAAGAGACCCACAGAGACCCACUGUGCUCCAUAGAGACCCACAGAGACCCAUAGGGACCCAUAGAGACUCACAGAGACCCAUAGGGACACAUUGAGACCCCAUGGGGAACCACAGAUACCCAUAGGGACCCACUGUGCCCCAUAGCGACCCAUAGAGACCCCAUAGCGACCCAUAGGGACCCACAGAGACCCACUGUGCCCCAUAGAGACCGACAGAGACCCACAGAGACCCAUAGGGACCCACACAGACCCAUAGGGACCCAUAGUGACCCAUAGGGAACUACAGAGACACAUAGGGACCAAUAGAGACCCCACAGAGACCCACAGAGACCCACAGAGACCCACUGUGCCCCAUAGAGACCCACAGAGACCCAUAGGGAUACAUAGGGACCCACUGUGCCCCAUAAAGGCCCAUACAGCCCCCAUAGCGACCCAUAGGGACCCACAGAGACCCAUAGGGAUCCAUAGGGACCCACUGUGCCCCAUAGCGACCCACAGAGACCCAUAGGGACCCAUAGAGACACCCAGAGGGACACAUAGAGACCCAUAGAGACACACAGAGACCCAUAGAGACACACUGAGACCCAUACGGACCCACUGUGCUCCAUAGGGACCCAUAGUGACCCAUAGCGACCCAUAGAGACCCAUAGAGACACACAGAGACCCAUAGAGACCCAAUGUGCCCCAUAGCGACCCACAGAGACCCAUAGGGACCCAGAGAGACCCACUGUGCCCCAUAGAGACCCAUAGGGACCCAUACCAACCCAUGGCGACCCAUAGAGACCCAUACAGACCCAUUGAGACCCCAUGGAGACCAAUAAGGACCCACUGUGCCCCAUAGCGACCCAUAGGGACCCCAUAGCGACCCAUAGGGACCCACAGAGAUCCACUGUGCCCCAUAGCGACCCAUAGCGACCCAUAGGGACCCAUAGGGACCCACUGUGCCCCAUAGAGACGCACAGAGACCCAUAGAGACCCACUGUGCCCCAUAGCGACCCACAGAGACCCAUAGAGACCCACUGUGCCCCAUAGCGACCCACAGAGACCCAUAGGGACCCAUAGAGACCCCACAGAGACCCAUAGGGACCCACAGAGACCCACAGGGACCCAUAGAGACACCCAGAGGGACCCCAUAGAGACCCCAAGACCCCCAUAGAGACCCCCAUAGGGACGCCAUAGAGACCCCAUAGACCCCCAUAAGGACCCCAUAGGGACCCCAUAGAGACUCCAUAGACCCCCAUAUGGACCCCAUAGGGACCCCAUACAGACCCCAUAGACCCCCAUAAGGACCCCAUAGGGACCCCAUAGAGACCUCAGGACCCCCAUAAGGACCCCAUAGGGACCCCAUAGAGACCCCAAGACCCCCAUAUGGACCCCAUAGGGACCCCAUAGAGACCCCAAGACCCCCAUAAGGACCCCAGAGGGACCCCAUUCUGCCCCACAGACCCCUCAGCACCCCAAUAAAUACC
rnacentral:lncRNA from 1 species